rnacentral:lncRNA from 1 species
GACUUCCCAGCCCAGGCUUGGGCUAGAGAGAGCCUGCCUGCACCUCCAGAUACUUGGAUGUGAAGCAUCACCUGACUUCUUGCAACCAAUAUCAUCCAAGGACCCAAGGCAUUCCAUCACCAUGACUGCUGAAGCUGUGUAAGACUCCUAGAAAGCACUACACUGAAAUGCUCAACUUCUGUUCAAGCAAGUCCAUUCUUCACUGGCAUUACAGUCUACUUCUUCAGGAUUCCAGUGUCUACUGAAGACCAGCUGAGGCAUCCAGCCUUGUGGACUGAGAAACUUCUGGAUUCUUGGUUUUUCUGCUCAUAGCCAGCCAUUGUUAGAUUAGCUGGACCACAGCAAAACCCUAUAUAUAUUUACACACACACACACACACACACACACACACACACACACACACACACACACAUUCUCUUUAAGUUCUGUUACUCUAGAACUCUGGUUAAUACAACAAUCAUAGUCAAUAGCAGAGAACAAUGAAUGCAGGCAUGCUUCUUACUUGCCUGCUUGCUAACUUUGUCCACUAUUGCACAUUUCAGGAUUCCAUCUAAGGAAUGGUGCUACCUUCAGUGGGCUGGGUUAAUUAACAAUCGAGACAACCCUCCCACAGACACGCCCACAGGCCAAUCUAUUCGGACAAUUUUUCACUUGAGGUUUUCCUUUCAGGGACUCUAGACUAUGGCAAGCUGACACCUAAAACUAACUACACUUACCUCAUCAGCUCAUUUAGUUUAAGGUAAAGAUCUUUUUAAAAAUUGGUUCCUGGGAGGGGGGGUAUGGGGGACUUUUGGGAUAGCAUUGGAAAUGUAAUUGAGGAAAAUAUGUAAUAAAAAUAAAUAAAU